rnacentral:misc_RNA from 1 species
CCACCCUCAGGCCCCCCUCCUCACGGGGGGAAGGGCCUGGUGUUGGGGAUCUACGGGCCCUUUUCUGGGGCCCGUAGUCUCCUAAAUUAAUCGGCGUGCGCGUUGUACGUUGCCCCCUGCGUAGUAGUGAUUUCUCGCAUCGGGCCGUAGCGUUGUCCAGCCGCUAAACUGCAACUACGCAUUUAGCUAG